rnacentral:lncRNA from 1 species
GCAAGCACGCGAGGCUCCGGCGAUGCGCCCCAACGGCCAGCAGGGGGCGCGCCAACUCAAGGUAAAGGCUCACCUGGCGCCGCCCUCCAGCGGGACCCCCGGCUGCCGGGGACGCUCUCCAGGACGACAGCAGCUGCUCCGCAGGGAGCGGGGUCUCGACCCAGGGGAGGGGCCCGGGCUCCGGGGUCGCGUGGGACCCGGGGACCCGGCAGGCUCUCCCCUGUCGGGCCUGACCGCGGGGGACUGUGCUCCGCGGGGCCGCGCAGCAGUUGAGCCCGGGCGCCGACCGGGGCGUUUCCUCGGGAUGCUCCGCGGGGGCGGGGAGCCGGCAGCGGCACUCUACUCAGCCCUUUAG